UACGGGGGGGGCAAGCGUUGUUCGGAAUUACUGGGCGUAAAGGGCUCGUAGGUGGCCAACUAAGUCAUACGUGAAAUCCCCCGGCUCAACCGGGGAAUUGCGCGAGAUACUGGUGGGCUAGAGAUCGGUAGGGGUGAGUGGAACUCCAGGUGGAGCGGUGAAAUGCGCAGAUAUCGGGAGGAACACCGGUGGCGAAGGCGGUUCUCUGGGCCUUACCUGACGCUGAGGAGCGAAAGCGUGGGGAGCGAACAGG
rnacentral:rRNA from 1 species